UACGUAGGGACCGAGCGUUGUCCGGAAUCAUUGGGCGUAAAGAGCGUGUAGGCGGCCACUUAAGUCCUGCGUGAAAUCUUGCGGCUCAACCGCAAGCGGUCGUGGGAAACUGGGUGGCUAGAGUGCGGGAGAGGAGAGUGGAAUUCCUGGUGUAGCGGUGGAAUGCGCAGAUAUCAGGAGGAACACCUGUGGUGUAGACGGCUAUCUGGACGGCCACUGACGCUGAGGCGCGAAAGCGUGGGGAGCAAACAGG
rnacentral:rRNA from 1 species